UACGUAGGUGGCAAGCGUUGUCCGGAAUUAUUGGGCGUAAAGCGCGCGCAGGCGGUCCUUUAAGUCUGAUGUGAAAGCCCACGGCUCAACCGUGGAGGGUCAUUGGAAACUGGGGGACUUGAGUACAGAAGAAGAAAGCGGAAUUCCACGUGUAGCGGUGAAAUGCGUAGAGAUGUGGAGGAACACCAGUGGCGAAGGCGGCUUUCUGGUCUGUAACUGACGCUGAGGCGCGAAAGCGUGGGGAGCAAACAGG
rnacentral:rRNA from 1 species